AUCCACCGAUUCGCCGUUGAUAAGGACGGGAGGAGGAGGGCACGGUUUGUCGGAGAAGAAACGAGAGAGAGAAAGAAAGAAGCAUCCAUCUCCCGAUCCCCGAUGGAGGAGACCGGGAGAAAGGUCGACAAAAAGCGAGUAUCGAUAUCAAUGGCGAAAUCAGGAGGAGAAGUGUAGGCGUCGUACACGCGGUUCCUCUCCCACGCCGGCGACGAGCUCAAGAGCUUCCGGUCGUGCCUCCAGUGGCUCUGCGUCGACCAUUCCGAUCCCCCCCGCGCCGUCGUCUCCUGGUCCCUCUUCCUCCUCCUCAGCCUCUCCGUCCCUGCUGCCUCCCACUUCUUCUUGAUCUACUCCCCUGCCCGCCGCCCCUACGACCUCGCCGUCCAGCUAUCUUUAACGGCGAUCUCCGCCCUCUCCUACCUCUGUCUCUUCUCCUUCCACCGCCGCUUCCUCUUCCUCGACAAGCUCGUAGGCGAGAGCUAGCGCGUCCGCCUCGGCUCCACCAUCCAGCUCACAGCUCCUUCCGCCUCCUCGCCUUCUUCGUUACGACUCAGACCUCCCUUGGCAAUGGAAGUUCGCAAUCUCCUUUUGGUAUGUUGCUGAUUUGUAGAGAAACAGAAACACAGACCCUUAUUUUUCUUUGGCUCCAAAGUGAGCAUCCGAGAGUUGAACAAAGCCUCAUCUGUCUUCAAGUCAGAGUCUUCCUAUCCAUACGGAGUCAUGAAUAUAGAUAUGAAGUAAGAAGGCUGACCACUGGAUCAGGAGCAUCAUCUUGCUUGCACAUCAUCCAUGGGACCCCAGUUUGUAAACUCACAGCCAUAGCCGCUGCCCAACGAACAUAAGGAGGUCCUGCCUCAUGAAAUGCAGGCUCCACCAUUUGAUCAACAGAGGCAUGGACUGCAUAAAGGCCUUUUUCCAAUGUAAGAAUAGAGGCGUGCAUUGAGAAUUCAACAGGCAAUGUCACAAACUUCACUUUGUUCAUGUCAUGCAAAGCGUUUGCAGUGUGGAAGGCAUUCAGUGGUUGGAUUUGGAUUGCUGAUGCAUUAGAUGGUAUGACAAAUGAACUAUCUGCUAUUGCUUUUGAUUCAUAAAACAUGAGUUCCCCAAAAUACAAACUAGUCUUGGUCUACCAUAAGCAUCAGUCUGUAAAGGGCUAAACAUUUGGCUUGCAGCAAAUCAUGAGACAUUCUAAAGUCUUGAAAUGUAUCCCAUAGUAUGUUUGUAGAAAAUGGUAUGGAAAUUCUCGCUUUAAA